AUUGAACGCUGGCGGCAGGCCUAACACAUGCAAGUCGAACGAGUGGAGGAAGGGUGAGCAAUGACUGGGAAAGUGCCUGAUGGAGGGGGAUAACAACUGGAAACGGAUGCUAAUAACGCAUAGCAUCGGAUGGGCCAGGUUGGGAUUAGCUAGUAGGUGGGGUAACGGCUCACCUAGGCGACGAUCCCUAGCUGGUGUGAGAGGAUGACCAGCCACACUGGAACUGAGACACGGUCCAGACUCCUACGGGAGGCAGCAGUGGGGAAUAUUGCACAAUGGGCGCAAGCCUGAUGCAGCCAUGCCGCGUGUAUGAAGAAGGCCUUCGGGUUGUAAAGUACUUUCAGCUAGGAGGCGUUACUCACAGAAGAAGCACCGGCUAACUCCGUGCCAGCAGCCGCGGUAAUUC
rnacentral:rRNA from 1 species